GCCAAAGCUCAACUUAGAUGAUGUCUUUGAGCAGAAGAACGAUAUUGCAAAAGCCGUGGAAGACGAGCUUGAGAAGGCCAUGUCAACCUACGGAUAUGAGAUAGUCCAAACUCUUAUUGUGGAUAUCGAGCCUGAUGUGCAUGUUAAGAGAGCAAUGAACGAGAUUAAUGCAGCUGCUAGGAUGAGGUUGGCUGCAAGUGAGAAAGCCGAAGCUGAGAAAAUACUGCAGAUCAAGCGAGCGGAGGGGGAUGCUGAAUCGAAGUACUUGGCUGGGCUGGGCAUAGCACGCCAACGCCAGGCUAUUGUGGACGGUCUGAGGGACAGCGUGAUUGCCUUUUCAGAUAAUGUUCCUGGGACCAGUGCAAAGGAUGUGAUGGAUAUGGUUUUGGUGACUCAGUACUUUGACACUAUGAAGGAGAUUGGGGCUUCCUCCAAGUCUUCUGCUGUGUUCAUUCCACAUGGUCCUGGGGCAGUGAAAGAUGUUGCAUCACAGAUAAGAGAUGGCCUCCUCCAGGCCAAAACCGACGUUUGAUAUGGUAGUGAGUCGGUUUUCUAUUGUUGGCUUGCAAAAUAAUUUAGUGUGGUCAGGUAAACUAAGUAUGUGGAUAGUGGGUAUAUAUGGG
rnacentral:misc_RNA from 1 species